UUUUUUUAUGCAAUCUUGGGUUGCAAAAUCAAUUAAAAUAAAAUCAGCAAUGUAUGUUUUCAAAUUUAUCUAUCUAACAAUGGAUAAAGAAAACUUAACCUAACAUAUUAAAGGGGCACUAGCUGCCAAAUUCAUGUUCAUCGAUUUGACUCAAAUUCUUAUAUUUUAUUUAUAACAAUGUAAAACAUUUUUCCAAACUAUCAA
rnacentral:lncRNA from 1 species